rnacentral:rRNA from 1 species
AUUGAACGCUGGCGGCAUGCCUUACACAUGCAAGUCGAACGGUAACAGGUCUUCGGAUGCUGACGAGUGGCGAACGGGUGAGUAAUACAUCGGAACGUGCCUAGUAGUGGGGGAUAACUACUCGAAAGAGUGGCUAAUACCGCAUGAGAUCUACGGAUGAAAGCAGGGGAUCGCAAGGCCUUGUGCUACUAGAGCGGCCGAUGGCAGAUUAGGUAGUUGGUGGGAUAAAAGCUUACCAAGCCGACGAUCUGUAGCUGGUCUGAGAGGACGAUCAGCCACACUGGGACUGAGAAACGGCCCAGACUCCUACGGGAGGCAGCAGUGGGGAGUUUUGGACAAUGGGCGCAAGCCUGAUCCAGCAAUGCCGCGUGCAGGAUGAAGGCCUUCGGGUUGUAAACUGCUUUUGUACGGAACGAAAAGCCCCGGGUUAAUUCCCUGGGGUCAUGACGGUACCGUAAGAAUAAGCACCGGCUAACUACGUGCCAGCCGCCGCGGUAA